rnacentral:lncRNA from 1 species
GAGUUGGAUUGAGUGAAGGUAGGUCUACUUGAGUUUGACCCUUAUGAUUAAGAAAAAUUGGGGUGAUUCCUCCAUCCUGGAUUGUAUGUUGGUGCAUAGGAGUCAUUUAUGGAUCUCUGAUAGGCUACAUUCACCUGUGCUACUUCGUUCUCGAUUGGGCCCAUCAAGAAAGGAUAUUCUUCCAUUGUGUGGUUUGUGGCAUUACACCCAUUGCAAGUGGAUGUUGAAACUUGGCUCACUUAGGUGUGUCCCUUGAGUUCUAGGACCUUUAUCCCAUAGAUCAAAGAUGUAAAUUUAGCCUCUUCAGUUAGAGAAAGUUGAACUUGAUGUACACUCCCUCUUGAAGGUGUGAGUCUAUC